CCUACGGGAGGCAGCAGUAAGGAAUAUUGGUCAAUGGACGAAAGUCUGAACCAGCCAUGCCGCGUGAAGGAUGAAGGUCCUCUGGAUUGUAAACUUCUUUUAUCUGGGACGAAAAAAGGGGAUUCUUUCUCACUUGACGGUACCAGAGGAAUAAGCACCGGCUAACUCCGUGCCAGCAGCCGCGGUAAUACGGAGGGUGCAAGCGUUAUCCGGAUUCACUGGGUUUAAAGGGAGCGUAGGUGGGCAAGUAAGUCAGUGGUGAAAUCUCCGGGCUUAACCCGGAAACUGCCAUUGAUACUAUUUGUCUUGAAUUAUCUGGAGGUAAGCGGAAUAUGUCAUGUAGCGGUGAAAUGCUUAGAUAUGACAUAGAACACCCAUUGCGAAGGCGGCUUACUACGGAUAUAUUGACACUGAGGCUCGAAAGCGUGGGGAUCAAACAGGAUUAGAUACCCUGGUAGUCCACGCCCUAAACGAUGGAUACUCGACAUCAGCGAUACACUGUUGGUGUCUGAGCGAAAGCAUUAAGUAUCCCACCUGGGAAGUACGACCGCAAGGUUGAAACUCAAAUGAAUUGACGG
rnacentral:rRNA from 1 species